GACGAACCGUCCAAACGUUGUUCGGAAUCACUGGGCUUAAAGGGCGCGUAGGCGGGUUAGCAAGUCUGUGGUGAAAUCCUCCAGCUUAACUGGAGAAGUGCCGUGGAUACUGCUGACCUCGAGGAGGGUAGGGGCAUCUGGAACUGUCGGUGGAGCGGUGAAAUGCGUUGAUAUCGACAGGAACUCCGGUGGCGAAGGCGAGGUGCUGGACCCUUUCUGACGCUGAGGCGCGAAAGCCAGGGGAGCAAACGGG
rnacentral:rRNA from 1 species